rnacentral:rRNA from 1 species
AUUGAACGCUGGCGGCAGGCCUAACACAUGCAAGUCGAGCGGAUGAAGGGAGCUUGCUCCUGGAUUCAGCGGCGGACGGGUGAGUAAUGCCUAGGAAUCUGCCUGGUAGUGGGGGAUAACGUCCGGAAACGGGCGCUAAUACCGCAUACGUCCUGAGGGAGAAAGUGGGGGAUCUUCGGACCUCACGCUAUCAGAUGAGCCUAGGUCGGAUUAGCUAGUUGGUGGGGUAAAGGCCUACCAAGGCGACGAUCCGUAACUGGUCUGAGAGGAUGAUCAGUCACACUGGAACUGAGACACGGUCCAGACUCCUACGGGAGGCAGCAGUGGGGAAUAUUGGACAAUGGGCGAAAGCCUGAUCCAGCCAUGCCGCGUGGGUGAAGAAGGUCUUCGGAUUGCAAAGCACUUUAAGUUGGGAGGAAGGGCAGUAAGUUAAUACCUUGCUGUUUUGACGUUACCAACAGAAUAAGCACCGGCUAACUUCGU